AUAAAGAUGGCAGAAAAGUGCAUUAGAUUUAAGCUCUAAAUAUAAAGAUUAAUAUCUUUUCUUUAUA
rnacentral:tRNA from 1 species